AAAUUAAUUAUUAUUAAUUUAAAAGUUUAUAGAUUGUUAAUAAAAAUAAUUUUAAUAAUUUAAGUUUUAGUAUAUUUUAUUGAAAAAAUAAUUUUAAUUAUAGUGAAUUAAGUAUAGUAUUAGAAAUUUGAAAUAUAAAUAAUUUAGAUAAAAGUAAAAUUAAUUUUUUGUACCUUGUGUAUCAGGGUUUAUUAAAUAAAUAUUAUAUAAUUAAUUUUCCCGAAUUUAAGAGAGAGAAUAAAUAAUUUUUUUUAUUGUAAAAAAAAUAUUUAUAAUUAUUUAUUAGAAAUGAAAAGUUAUUCGUUCUUAAAUAUAUCUGGUUUAUAAAGAAAUAAAUUUAAUUUAGUUAAUUUUAUUUUAUUAGUUUAUUUUUAUAAAUUAGUAAAUUUAAUUAAUAAUAAUUAAAGGGAUAAGCUUUUAAUUAAAAUUCUAAAAUAAUUUUUUAAAAUAAAAUUUUAUAGGUUUAGAAAUAUUCAUUAUUAAUAGUAUGUUGUAAUAAAAUUUUUAAGAAUUAUUAUUUUAUAGUUAUUUAGAAAUUUAUUUAUAAAUAAUAUAUAAUAAAAAAUUAUUAGAUAUUAUGAUAAAAUUAGUAUAUAUAAAUAUUUUAAUAAUAUUAAAAGUUUAGGUUAUUAAAAGGAAUUCGGCAAAUAAUUUAUUCGCCUGUUUAAUAAAAACAUGUCCUUUAGAAUAAUAAUUUAAGGUCUGACCUGCCCAUUGAAAUWUUUAAAAGGCCGCAGUAAUUUGACUGUGCAAAGGUAGCAUAAUCAUUAGUUUUUUAAUUAAAAGCUUGUAUGAAUGGUUGGACGAGAUAAAAGCUGUCUCAUAAUAAUUUAUAGAAUUUAAUUUUUGAGUUAAAAAGCUUAAAUUUAAAUAAAAGACGAGAAGACCCUAUAGAUCUUUAUAAAAAUUUUUUUAAUAUUAAUUUGGAUUAAUUUAUUUAUUAUUUUUUUUUUUAUUUUAUUGGGGUAAUAAGGAGAUUUAAGUAAUUCUUUUUUAUAGAAACAAUAAUUAUUGAUUUUAAUGAUCCAUAUAUUAUGAUUAUAAGAUUAAGUUACCUUAGGGAUAACAGCGUAAUUUUUUUAGAGAGUUCAUAUUGAUAAAAAAGUUUGCGACCUCGAUGUUGGAUUAAAAGUAAUCUUAGGUGCAGAAGUUUAGGAUUUUGGUCUGUUCGACCAUUUAAUUUUUACAUGAUCUGAGUUUAAACCGGUGUAAGCCAGGUUGGUUUCUAUCUUUAUUAGUUUAUAAUGUUUUAGUACGAAAGGACCAAAUAUUAAAUAUAUUAUAUUUAAAUUUUGAAUAUUAUU
rnacentral:rRNA from 1 species